AGGGUGAGAGAGUGUGCGUGGCGGCGUGUGAGUCCUGUUUUAUUAUUCCUAUAGUGCUCUGUAAGCUCAUUUUUCUGCAGCUCUUGUGUGUUUUCUUGUUUUAUUUCUUCAAUGUCUGCCUCUCUGCUCUCUCCUAGGUCUGCCAGCCAGAAGAGCAGAUCUGAUUUGAGGGCAGCUGGGAAGCCGUCCAAUCUGGAGAGCCUCUACAAUUAGCAAAACAAGGUCUGGAAUUCCUGGACUUCACUCCUUGUUAGCGAGAAAGCGAAACACGUGAUGUUCUGCUUUGCUCUCAGUGUCAAAACCUUGUGCUCAUGGGCCCUGGCGGCUACACAGAAAGCCCUGAGGACUGAAACCCUGCAUGGGUACAUUUUGAUGGGGCAGGAAGAAAAGUUCUGGAGUGUGGAGAGCAGAGGUCCAGAGCAUUCACUGAUUUAGCCACAGAAGAAACAGAUGCGGAAACCGGGGCACAGCAGGCGAAGUGAAACUUCCCAUGUUCCAGCAAAGCCCAGUCCAUAACGUGAGGCUUUGUGAGGUUUGUGUGUGCGACCUUCACCCCUUCACCUGGACCCUCUCUUUGUCCUCCUUUCGCACCCAGUGAUGUGUGGCCUGGAUCACUUCCCUGCCCUCAAGUCUUGCCCUGGCCUGACGUUCAGCGGACCCUCCGUGCAUUAAGGAUGGAGGAUGGUUCCUUGUGCUUCCUCUACCAGGUGCACUUGUAUCUGCUCGGAAUUCUGGAAGAGCAAAGACCCACUGGCCCCACUAAUCCAUCUAUUGAUCCUGCCCCGGUCAGCAGGCUGGGUCUAGCCUCCACACUGCCGCUGCUCAGGGUCUGUGGAGGAAGUCGCUGCAGCCAUUCAGCCAGAUGAAUCGCAAUUAAUAAAUGUGGAACGAAUGAGAGACGAAGACGAUGAGCACCAGAGGACUGCAGGGAGCACGGCUGAGGCAACAUCACCAGAGGAUAGUAAAAUUAGCAGACAGAGAUCUAAGCACAAACAGUGUCUCUGUGUAGCCUUAAAGCAUCUCUUUGAAUAUUUAAUGGUUACAAAGGAAAAACAGUGAGUUGAUGGGGGAGAACCCUGGCAGGCACCACCCUAACCAAGAGAUCAAAGUUGGCAUGACCAGGCACAAGGCACACUAACAGCCCACACCCACUGAUCUGGCCCACCGAAAAUGCACAUCACUUCUGUGGCAUUGCCACGGAAUUUCCAAAAAGGCAUUACCUCAGUCCAAUGCAGAGAAGGCGUCAGGCAGACCUAGGCGGAGAGACUGUCCAAGAGCGACAGACCCAUCCUCUUAAAAAGCCGGCCCUGACACAGAAAGGAGACAGAGAAAGGUGACAGCCAAAUGCACGUGGGAGCUGGGAACAGAGGAGGGCACUGGGAGGGGCCUGCCUGCCGUCCAGCUCUCGAGACCACGGCGAGGUGAGUCUCAGCUCUCAUAAUCGCACUCUGAUUCAUGGAAUGCCGGCAUGAGAAGAGGCUGGGGGUGGGGAGGCUGCUUUCGCAAUUCUUCUAUAAGUCUAAAAUUAUCUCAGAAUGGGACACUUUCGAAAGUGAGUUCAUGAAUAGAAACAGGCAGUGGCAGUGUAUGUGUCACCCUCUAAGCAUAUUCCAUGGCCCUUGCUAGGAUCCGACUUGUGCUGAUUUAGGAACAAAUACUGCAGGUGAGAUGGCACCACCAUGAGCACUUUCUGCAGGGUCUUCUGGACAGGCAUGGAAGGGGCUACCUGAGCCCUGGGGUGAGAGGCAUUUAGAGUCCGACGUUGACACAUCUCAAACCAGACCUCUCUCAGACAGCCCAGGCCCUGUGGCCACCAGGUGUGUGCUUACACAGGCCAGAAAUGCUUCACCCCUACAGACAUGUCUGGGUUCUCCACAGCUCCUCCCAGACCCCGAGGAGGCUCCUGGAAUGUAACCUGGCCAAAACGGAGCUCCAGAUACCACCCACCCACAAGCCAGCUUCUCCUCUGUCUUCCCUAGGUCAGAAAAUGGUCCCAAACCAAUAACUCAUCAUCUUUUCUUUUUGAGACAGGGCCUCACUCUGUCAUCCACUGCUAGAGUGCAGUGGCACAAUCAUGGCUCAUUGUACCCUCAACAUACCCAGCUCAAGCGAUUCUCCCACUUCAGCCUCCCAAGUAGCUGAGACUACAAGUGUGCACCACCACACCUGGCUAAUUUUUUUUUUUUUUUUUUUUUAGAGAUGCAGUCUUGCUAUGUUGCCCAGGCUGGUCUUGAACUCCUGGGCUUAAGCGAUCCUCUCACCUCAGCCUCCGAAAGUGCUGGGACUAGAGGCAUGAGCCACCGCCCCUGGCCUAAACAUCAUCUUUG
rnacentral:lncRNA from 10 species